rnacentral:rRNA from 1 species
UGCAAGUCGCACGAGAACGCUUCAGCUUGCUGAAGUAAGUAAAGUGGCGCACGGGUGAGUAACGCGUGGGUAAUCUACCCUUGAAUUGGGGAUAACCCGCCGAAAGGCGGGCUAAUACCGAAUGACAUCUUGAAAACUUAUGUUUUCAGGAUCAAAGGUGGCCUCUACAUGUAGCUAUUGUUUGGGGAUGAGCCCGCGUACCAUUAGCUUGUUGGUAGGGUAAUGGCCUACCAAGGCUACGAUGGUUAGCCGGUCUGAGAGGAUGAUCAGCCACACUGGAACUGACACACGGUCCAGACUCCUACGGGAGGCAGCAGUGAGGAAUUUUGCGCAAUGGGGGAAACCCUGACGCAGCAACGCCGCGUGAGUGAUGAAGGCUUUCGGGUCGCAAAGCUCUGUCAAGUGGGAAGAACUCAUAUGGUGUUAAUACUGCCAUAUGUUGACGGUACCACUGAAGGAAGCACCGGCUAACUCCGUGCCAGCAGCCGCGGUAAUACGGGGGGUGCGAGCGUUAUUCGGAAUUACUGGGCGUAAAGAGCGCGUAGGCGGUCUUUUAAGUCAGGUGUGAAAGCCCGGGGCUCAACCCCGGAAGUGCACUUGAAACUAAGAGACUUGAGUAUGGGAGAGGGAAGUGGA